rnacentral:misc_RNA from 1 species
GUGUCUUUUAGAGGGAUGUUAUGUAAUGCCUUGCAACUCUAUGGGAGUUUAAAAGUACUACUGUAUAAUGGCUGCUUUUUUAAAACCAUGAAGAUUAUGUUUGCUUGAGGAAUGUGACUUAAACUUGCUCUCGGAUCUUGUAGUGAACUUUGAUAACAAGUAUUCUUCCAGUCCUGGAAACAGUUUGGAGGUGUUAUAGUCUAAUUAAUUUCAUUUGUUCUGUUG